rnacentral:rRNA from 1 species
AACGAACGCUGGCGGCAGGCCUAACACAUGCAAGUCGAGCGAGAAACCACCUUCGGGUGGCGGACAGCGGCGGACGGGUUAGUAACGCGUGGGAAUAUACCCAGAUCUACGGAAUAGACUCGGGAAACUGAGAGUAAUACCGUAUACGCCCUUCGGGGGAAAGAUUUAUCGGAUUUGGAUUAGCCCGCGUUGGAUUAGGUAGUUGGUGGGGUAAUGGCCUACCAAGCCUACGAUCCAUAGCUGGUUUGAGAGGAUGAUCAGCAACACUGGGACUGAGACACGGCCCAGACUCCUACGGGAGGCAGCAGUGGGGAAUCUUAGACAAUGGGGGAAACCCUGAUCUAGCCAUGCCGCGUGAGUGACGAAGGCCCUAGGGUCGUAAAGCUCUUUCGCCAGGGAUGAUAAUGACAGUACCUGGUAAAGAAACCCCGGCUAACUCCG